rnacentral:rRNA from 1 species
AGGACGAACGCUGGCGGCGUGCUUAACACAUGCAAGUCGAGCGAGGCCCUUCCUUCGGGAAGGUGCCCUAGCGGCGAACGGGUGAGUAACACGUGGGCAACCUGCCCCUAGCACUGGGAUAACUCCGGGAAACCGGGGCUAAUACCGGAUACGACCUCGAGCGGCAUCUCUUGAGGUGGAAAGCUCCGACGGUGAGGGAUGGGCCCGCGGCCUAUCAGCUUGUUGGUGGGGUAAUGGCCUACCAAGGCGACGACGGGUA